CCCCAAAAAACCAAAAGUGUGGAUGGGGUUACCCAAAGUGUUCAAUUUGAACUGUGGUAGGUGAGUAAUGUCCCCCACUUGAAAGGAGAGGGCAAGGCUGGUGCCAGCCGCCGCGGUAAAACCAGCUCUUCAAGUGGUCGGGAUAAUUAUUGGGCUUAAAGUGUCCGUAGCCGGUUUAGUAAGUUCCUGGUAAAAUCGGGUAGCUUAACUAUCUGCAUGCUAGGAAUACUGCUAUACUAGAGGGUGGGAGAGGUCUGAGGUACUACAGGGGUAGGGGUGAAAUCUUAUAAUCCUUGUAGGACCACCAGUGGCGAAGGCGUCAGACUGGAACGCGCCUGACGGUGAGGGACGAAAGCCAGGGGAGCGAACCGGAUUAGAUACCCGGGUAGUCCUGGCCGUAAACGAUGCAUACUAGGUGAUGGUACGGCCAUGAGCCGUAUCAGUGCCGUAGGGAAACCGUUAAGUGUGCCGCCUGGGAAGUACGGUCGCAAGGCUAAAACUUAAAGGAAUUGGCGGGGGA
rnacentral:rRNA from 1 species